rnacentral:tRNA from 1 species
GGCUGGUUAGCUCAGUUGAGCGUAGCACUAACAGUGCUAAGGUCGUGGGUUCGAUUCCCGUUCGGUCC